rnacentral:lncRNA from 1 species
GUUUUGACUAGCUCUACCAUGUUACUAGCUGUGUGAUUUUGGAAAAACCACUUAGCUCCUCUGAGCCUCAGUGUGAGUGUGUUUGAUCAUGGUGUGUUCUAAGUGAGAUAAUGUGUAUAAAAUACUUUGCACAUAGUAAGGGCUCAAUUAAAGGCAGUUACUAUCACUUGUAAUGAAUUUGACCUGGUCUCAGAGCCCUCACCUAUUGCAUAAACUCAAAUUUAUAUGACAAGGAAAACGCUACCAGCUCCUUAUGUAACUGAGAAAACAGACCCAGGAUGCCUGAGGAAAUAGCCCCAAUCAUACAAAAACGACUGUGGUGCAGGUUCAGUGUCUCUUGAGAGCUGGUUGGUCUUUGAGCCCCACCUUCAAUGUGGUCUCCAGGGACCAAGGGAAGAACUGAAUUCACCAAGACAGUCAACAGGGAAGAAAACUGUUUCUAGUGGCAGGAGAAAGAAAAACAGGAAAUGCUUUGGUCCAGUGCUCCCAGAUCCCAUCUUGAACAUGUCCAUCACCCAUCACCUCGCUGGUAAUUGCACACACAGUUCCUAAGUUACAGCUCAAAUUAGAUGAGGUGGCCUACAUCGGGGAAACAAAAUAAUUUACUCUGCUAAAUUUGGCCCUGGGAUUCUGCAUUUAUAAAUCCAGCCCAGUGUGGGAUCCAAGACAAAACUCUAUUCCCUGGACAGGUUCUGAUGAGGCAUCCAUCCUUAUUACCAACCCAAUUAAAGUUCCCUGGAAUCGCAAGACUUGUAAAGAGGCAGUAACACCUGUUAGAGAUCACAAGUUCAGGUGCCUGCAGAGGCCAGACAAGGAAUAUCAAUGAAUAAAAGGGCCAGGCGGGUACUGUCUGACUCGAAGGGCACUGGUCUGGUCUCAGGGAGGCAGCCAAUAACUGCCAUGUGGAAUAUGAGCCCAGGGUUGCCAACCCCAGCGCUAACACUUACCAGCUAUGUGGCUUGAGGCUAAUCACUUAACCUCUCUGUGACCCAAUUUUCUCAUCCUCAAAACAGAGAUAAUAAUAAUGCCCAUCUCUUAGGAUGAUGGUGAAAAUUAAAUGAGUUAUGUUGUUACAUAGGAUACUGCCUAUCCCAUAAUAAGACAUGAAUAACGUUGGCUAUUAUUAUGAAGUCAGUAGUUUUGGUUUUUUAAUGGAAGUUUCCAGGCCAGGGACUGAACUAGAGCCACAGCUGUGGUAAUGCCAGAUCCUUUAACCCACGGUGCCAGGCUGGGGAUCGAACCCAAGUCUAUGCAGUGACCUGAGCCACUGUAGUCAGGUUCUUAACCCACUGUGCCACAGUGGGAACUCCAGUUUUAAAUGAGGGAUUCUCAUAGCCAAUGAUGGGAGCAAGGGUAUUCAAGCUAUUCUCAAUAUAGAGAGGCUAAUGGCAUGAGACAAGACCAAACUAACUAAAGAACUUAUUUGGCUGGAAGGCUGGCAACUAAUGUAUAGUCAUGCUGGGAUUCCCCUGCUGGUUAUUACCUUAUUCAACUCUUGCUUAUGUCUCUAAUUUGUUAAAAUUUGAUUAAUUUGUUUUAUGUGGUGGAUUUGGUGAGCAAAUAUUUUCCACUAUGGAGUCUUGGGGAUAAGACUAGCUGGAUUCUUGGUGAGAGGAAAUUUGGGGACUGUUCUACAACCAGAAUAUACAUAUAGGUUUACCACCAAAUAUGCUUAAAUCCUUGACUUCAUGAUGUUCAAAAGGAAACUCACUGGUCAUGGAUGGAGGCUAUGAGCAAACCAACUCUUUAUUGUGAAAAAUAGAAAAGGAAGGGAAAGAAGCAUUUAUCCUGGCUCUCCUAAAAUAACUAUCCCUCAGGCAAGCCGAGUAGCAGGUGACACUUUGUAGAUAUAUUCCAAAUAACGAAUGAACACAGAGUUAGAGAAUUAGAAUAUCACCCUUUCUGCAGCCCCUACAGAGUUAAUGAGUUUAGGAAUGAGCAUCAAUAGCUCCCAAGAAAUACAAAAUACCUGCUAUGGAGUAGUCUUACAGAAGAAAUAAACAUAAAUUUAAUAACCCUAGAUCCAACUACCAAUUUACAGGAGAAAACAACAGAAAAAUAAGUUAAAGAAACCAGGAGGAUAUAGCAAAAUAAAGAGUAGGGGAACCUACAGGAAGAAGAGCCCAAUUUCUUCAAUAAUAAAUCGCAAGGACAAAAAAGUUAGAGAUGAAGGAUUUAUGCAUUUUCAAAGACUUAAGAGACAUAUCAACCAAAUACAAUAUAUGGACUUUAUUUGGAUCCUAUGGUAUCAAAAGAAUGGUCUCCAAAGAUGACCCUAAUCAUUAGAAUCUGUGAAUAUGUUAUCUUACACAGCAGUUCCUAACACACUUGGGUAUGGAAUCCAGGAUGUCCCAAAGCUUGCGUUGGUUUGCUCGUGGCCAGACCCAGGACCUGGCUGCUUCUAGGGCAAGGUCUGGCCUACUGUGAGCUGGCUGGGUUCAAAGGGUUCAAGAUUGUGCUUUUCUUGCACCUGGCAUAUGACCCUGGUGGGCGGAGCUUGUCCAGAGGCUAGAGCAGUCUCCCUAGGGGUGGGGUCAGGACCCAAGGGAUUCUGGGACUGUGGGCGGAGCUGGGUUCUGGACCCUCUAGUGGGCAGGGCUGGGGCCAGAGGCAGCUGCUGUCAGGUGGGGCCAGGUCUUGGCACUAAUGAACCAGAGGGAGGAUUCCAGGGUGUCUGCCAGCACCAGCGUAUCCCCAGUAGAAGGAGCUCCUAAGAAUUGCCACCGAUGUCUAUAUCCCCAGGGUGAGCCACAGCUGCCCUCCCCAACCCCCACCUUUCAGAGGCUCCAAGACAGAAGAUACCACCGGCUCAGGCGCCUAUCAAAGUACUGCUUUAGCCCUGGGUCCCAGUGUAAGUGAGAUUCUGUGCACAUCCUUUAAGAGUAAAGUCUGUUCACCCAGCCUCCGGGGACUCCUGAAAUGAAGCCCCCACCAGCCUUCAAAGCCAAAUGCUCUGGAGGCUCCUCUAACUGGCGCAGGACCCCCAGGCUGGGGACCCUGAUGUGGGGCUCAGAUCUCUCCUUUCUGUGGAAGAACCUCUGUAGCGCGGUUAUUCUCCAGCCUGUGUAUUCCCACCCGGGAGGUUAGGGGACUUGGCAGCAUUAUAAGACGGCCCCUUCUGCACAUCUUGUUGUGGUUCCUUCUUUAGGUCUUUAGUUGUAAACAGUCUUUUCUGGUAGGUUCCUGUCCUUUUCCUUGAUGGUUGUUCUGCAGAUAGUAGUGAAUUUGGUGACCUCAGGGUCUUUUUACUCCACCAUCACAGCCAGUCUCCUAUAGUCACCUGCUAUCACAGGGCCACUCAGGCUGGAGCAGGGCCCAGCAGUCAGGUGGGCGUGGCUUUUUGGAUAGCUGGUGUACAGCUCAAUGCAUCACUCUGGUCUCUGCCUCCAUCUUCACAUGGUGUUCUUUCCCCGUGAGUGUGCCUCCAAACUUCCCUCUCCUUAUAAGGACACAGGACACUGGAUUUAAGGUGUGACUUCAUCCAGUGAGACCUCAUUUUAACUUGACUACAUCUGCAAAAUUCCCAUUUACAAAGAGGGUUUCAUUCACAGGUACCAAGGGUUUAGACUUCAACAUAGUCCACCCACUACAGAUGGCCAGGUCUUAUUCCAAACCCCAGCAUCCCUCUAUCUAAGAUUCCUCUAAUUCAGUGAUGCCAAGUCAUAUGGCUCCAGCAGCAGGGCUGCUCAGACAGCCAGCUUGGACCCACUCCAGAACCCUUUUCUUGCCUCUGGGUUCUACUGAAAAUCUAGCAGCCUUUCUUGUCAUGCAACAACUGUACUAGAAAAUUAUUUUGAAGUGUAAAAUAAUCUGUCUUCAAAAGAGCCCCACCAAGCAUUGUGCUGCUUUUUUAGUGGUUCAAGGUGCAAAGGACAGUAACUUGUCCUCAACUCAAGAGGGGGGUGCCUCAGAUGACGGGGCCCCUAAAAGAAAUCACUGAUUUGGUUAGCUCCUGAAUCUUUAUAGGUCUCUUACCAAAGCAUCCAGGGUACUUAUCACCUUUUGUUCAUCACAUUAGAUUAACACAAAGUCUGUGUAGUAGAACAAUGUGAUAUUCUACAGAAUUUCUAGGGGGUCCAGAUCCCUUUGGACUGUAAUAAGGCAGAGAAUUGGACAUUAACAUGUCUAUGGGGAAAGACCUUGACCUUAUCUGCGACCUAUCCCAUGCAAAUGAAGGCAGCCCUAAUCCUCAUUCUUGACAGUUAUCAAAAAGAGUGCAUUCACCAGGUCAAUCACCAUUCAUCUUCACAGCCUCAGCUCUGAUACUCUGCUCUAGUAAAGAUCCUACAACUAGGAGUUCCCGUCGUGGCGCAGUGGUUAACGAAUCCGACUAGAAACCAUGAGGUUGCGGGUUCGGUCCCUGCCCUUGCUCAGUGGGUUAACGAUCCGGCGUUGCCGUGAGCUGUGGUGUAGGUUGCAGACGUGGCCCGGAUCCCGCGUUGCUGUGGCUCUGGCGGAGGCCGGUGGCUCCAGCUCCGAUUCAACCCCUAGCCUGGGAACCGCCAUAGGCCGCGGGAGCGGCCCAAGAAAUAGCAACAACAACAACAACAAAAG